GGUGGCUCAGUGGUAGAGUGCAUGCCUAGCAAGCAUGAGGCCCUGGGUUCAAUUCCUCAGCACCA
rnacentral:tRNA from 1 species